GGGAGAUGAUGGGGUCUCAGGCUCAGCUCUUCUGCCUCCUGCUUCUCUGGAUCCCAGAUGCCAGAGGGGCCAUUGAGCUGACCCAGUCUCCAUCCUCCCUGUCUGUGUCUCCAGGAGAGACGGUCACCCUGUCCUGCAGGGCCAGUCAGAGCAUUAGUACUAACAUAAACUGGUACCAACAGCCCCCAGGCCAGGCUCCCAGGCUCCUCAUUUACUAUGCUUCCAGCCUGCACUCUGGGGUUCCUGCCCGCUUCAGUGGCAGUGGCUCUGGGACAGAUUUCUCUCUGACCAUCCGCGGGGUGGAACCCGAGGACAUGGCACACUAUUACUGUCAGCAGAGGAAUAGUUGGCCUCCACUGUACUACUUUAGCGGAACUAAAAUGGACCCAGUGCCCUACAUUUUAAUAGAGGCACCACCAUUUUAGUUCAGUGAUGUAGGCCAGCCCUGAUUAAUAAAUGUUCAUUAAAUAUAAAAAGGCUGUAUUAAGAUGGCAAAACUAUCCAAAUAUACUUGUCAUUUAAAAAUAAUUAUUCAGUGAUUGGCUUCUCAGAAUGAGAGAAAUCUUGGGGUUGGACUGGGUGUGGAAGUAGGAAGGGGGUGGAGUCACUUAGGGAGGAGGAAGGAACCUUGAAUUAAAAAAACCCACUACACUUAACCAAUCAGCAACUGUUUAAUAUGAUUUGGUAUUGGCCAGGCUGGUUGUUCUUAGUAAUAAUUUAAUUCUCUGGAAGGAUGCUGCACUAUGUAUAAAAAUCUUCAUUAAAUUGUUCCCAUUCCACAAUCUGAAUGCAAAGCCUU